rnacentral:lncRNA from 1 species
AUUUAUGAGUUAUUGAUUAUGUAAUUAGAGUAUUGAGUGAUUGAAUUAUAUGAGAAGUUAUUCAAAGAUUGAUUAUAGAUGAAAAAUUAUGAUUGUUGUUUAUUGAGAGUUGUGUGUGUGUAUUUUGACAGAAGAAGUCUAUGAUCACAGGAAUUUUGUGAAUUCAGAUUGGUUGGAGUGAAGUUUGUUAUUCCUGGUGUUGGAUAGAAUUUAUUGAGUUUGAGCAGUCUUUUGAAAGUGCACGAUUGCUCAUUGUGAUUAUCAGUUGAUGAAGG